ensembl:lncRNA
GUGAUGAUGAGGUUAAGGGUUUAGGGGGACAUGAUGAGUGGAGGUGAUGAUGAGGUAAAGGGUUUAGGGGACAGGAUGAGUGGAGGUGAUGAUGAGAUAAAGGGUUUAGGGGGACAGGAUGAGUGGAGGUGAUGAUGAGGUUUAGGGGGACAGGAUGAGUGGAGGUGAUGAUGGGGUAAAGGGUUUAGGGGGAAUGAUGAGUGGAGGUGAUGAUGAGAUAAAGGGUUUAGGGGGACAGGAUGAGUGGAGGUGAUGAUGAGGUUUAGGGGGACAGGAUGAGUGGAGGUGAUGAUGAGGUUAAGGGUUUAGGGGGAUGAGUGGAGGUGAUGAUGAGGUUAAGGGUUUAGGGGGACAUGAUGAGUGGAGGUGAUGAUGAGGUUAAGGGUUUAGGGGGAC